rnacentral:lncRNA from 1 species
GAAUACCAGUCUCCUGGCGGCGGCUGGCACAGCGGAGCUGCUCUCCAAGCAGCGGGGUUCCCAGGCUGGGAAGUUUGCAUUGCCGUUUCUUUGCGGGCGGGCGGCGAGCGCCGACUGCAUGCCACCUGCGAGAGGAAGAGGCCGGUAGGUGAACCCGCAGUGACACUUGCGCAGGGGACGGACCAGCUCUGCGCGCUCUGGGAUUAAGUCAGGGGUUGCUACUUCCAGCCCAAGCUUGGUACCUCGCCUCGGGCAUUUUCUUGCAGCUAGAAGGGACGCAUGCCUCUGGCAUAAAUCCAACCAGAGAGUCACCCCUCUCAAGCUAGAUUUUUUAAAAAUCUAGAUAUUAUUUAGAUCAUUUCAGCAAAUUCUUAAUGCUUUGGCCUUUCACAGUAAGAUGUUGCUUAAUCGGCUGGAUCUCCCCACUCCUUGCCAAGGAGACUCAAUUUUGCAGUUGCCCAUAUCUGCCUAGUUAAAUCGUUGCUAUACUAAAGGUUCUGGGAGGGUGGGGACAGAAUUUCCCCGGUGCUAAUGCGGCACUGAAUCGCAGGAGGCUGCCCAUGCAUUUCUUCAGUCAUCUACAACCAAGAAUUCUCAGAGCAGUCCCUCGGCAGCCUUUUGAAGCUGUGCUAGAGCAGAAAGCUGCUAUUGUUCUCAUCUCUCAACAAGGAAAGGUUCAAACUUUGCCUCUUCAAUUUGAAAGAUUUUUUUUUUAUGGUGGUGGGGGGAGGGAUUGCAAUCUGAUACUCAAAGUUAACUUUGAGGAUUUGGAGUGGUCUCCCAGUUUAAGCUGCAGAUCAAAUCACAGAUGCCCUAACGCCUGCAUCUCAAGUCGGGGGCACUUCAUCAUUAAUACGGUGGAGUAGUCAAUCACAAGCAAUUACAACGUGGGUAACCUAGCCUGGUGACCGAGCUAGUUUACUUUCCAAGGAAGUGGGACCAUUUCCUCAACUGGAAUCCUUGAAUUAAUUUUAAACUUAAACUUCCAAAUUGGAUCAGUAUACAAUACUGGUUGUAGAACUAGGAGGAAUUUUUAAAAAUCUCAUCUAAUUCUCCCUCAUUUGGUGGGAGGAGGAAACAGCAUUUGUAUGAUAUGUAUCCUGCCUGCACAAUGCUGUGAGCUUCAGUAGAUGCUCAAUAAAUGCUCAUUGAUGUUGGGUGGUAGAGUGGAAUUGUGUGUACCAAUGUCAUCAGCGUAUGACUGGUGCCACAGAGCACACAAAUGUAGUAGGAAGUCAGAGAGGAUUGGUGAGGACUGGGGUGGUCAAAGGAGGCUUUAUCAAGGAGCUGGGGUUUGGAGGAGACUUUAAGGACCUACAGAAUUUUAACUUUAGUUAAUUUUAGUGCAAAGAAAGGAAGAAGGUGAAGGGGAAAGGGACAGUAGAAGAAAGAGAAUUCCACUUCAGUGAAAAGUUGAACAACGAUGAAGUUUUGGGUCUUUGAUCUGUUGGUGUGGACAUGGUGGGGCCAGAUUAGAGAAGUCAGAACACGGAGUUUGCCCCCAUGCUGUAUACAUUAUAGUAGGAACUUCUUCUGAGCAGGUAAAUAACGUGAGUUCAAUUCCAUGUCUGAAAGCUUCUUCCCUAGAAGGAUUGGCUUGCAGAGUCUGGAAGGAUAGAUGCAAAUGCAGUUACCUAGGUGUGGGAUGGUGAAAGUUUUGAUUGGGAACUGGUGGUAGUAGUGAAAGGAUGACUCAGCAUUUUAAAGGGGAAAAAGAGCAAAAUUUGGUGACAGGUUGGAAUAAGACAUUAAAUAAAGGGGACACUCAAAAGGACUUCUCUUUUGAGCAAAUGGUGCUGGGGCAACUGCAUAUCUACAUGUAAAACAAUGAAAUUGGACCCUUUCCUUACAACACACACACAAAUUAACUCCAAUCAUAGAUUUAAAUGUAAGAGUUAAACUCUGAAGCACUUAGAAGAAAACAAAGGAGGCUGGGUGUGGUGGCUCACACCUGUAAUCCCAGCACUUUGGGAGGCCGAAUCACAAGGUCAGGAGUUCGAGACCAGCCUGGCCAACAUGGUGAAACUCUGUCUCUACUAAAAAUACAAAAAAUUAGCUGGGCAUAGUGGCGGAUGCCUGUAAUCCCAGCUACUCAGGAGGCUGAGGCAGGAGAAUCGCUUGAACCUGGGAGGCGGAGGUUGCUGUAAGCCAAGAUCAUGCCACUGCACUACAGCCCGGGUGACAGAGUGAGACUCCAUCUCAAAAAAAAAAAGGAGUAAUCCUCAUGACCUUAGUUAGGCAAAACCUUCUUAGAUGUGACACCAAAAACACAAAUCAUAAAAGAAAAAAUGUUCAAUUGAACUUCACCACAUUUAAAACUUUUGUGCUUUAAUGAACACUGUCAAGAAAGUGAAGACAACUCACAGAAUUGGAGAAAUCAUUUGCAAAUUAUAUAUCUAAUAAAGGAGCCCUUGCAACUCAACAGUAAAAAGACAACCCAAUUUAAAACCGGAUAAAGGAUUUGGAUAAACAUUUUCCCAAGGAAGAUAUACAAAUGGCCAAUAAACACAUGAAAAGAAACCCAACAUCAUUAUAGCCAUCACUGAAAAGCAAAUUAAAACCACAGUGAGAGGAACCCCUUCACACCUACUAGGAUGACUAGAUUAUAGAAAAGAUAGUAAGUAUUGGUAAGGAUGUGGAGAACUGGAACCCUUAUACAUUGCUAAUAGGAAUGUAAAAUGGUACAGAAAACAAUUGAAAAACAAUGUGGCAAUUCCUCCAAAUGUUGAAGAUGGAAUUAUAAUUCUACUGCUAGGUAGAUACAAAGAGAAUGGAAAAUACACAUCCACAUAAAGACUUGUACAUGAAUGUUCAUAGCAGCAUUAUUCAUAGUAGCCAAAAGUUGGAAACCUAGAUGUCCAUCUCCUGAUAAAUGGAUCAUAUCUGAUAAUCUAUGUAAAGGAAUAUUAUUCAGCUAUAAAAAGGGAUGAAGUACCGAUACAUGUUACAAUAUGGAUGAACCUUGAAAACAUGCUAAAGGAAGCCAGUCACAAAAGUCACCUAUUGUAUGUUUCCAUGUAUAUGAAAUGUCUAGAAUAGAAAAAUCCAGAGACGGAAAGCACAUUAGUGGCUGCCAGGGACUUGGGGGUGGGGGAAGAGGGAAUGACUGCCAGUGGGUAAGGCUUUUUGGUGGGGGUAAAAGUAUCUUCAAAUCGAUUGUGGUGAUGGUUAUACAACUCUGUGAAUAUAUUAAAAAAAUGGUACAGUUUAAAUGGAUGAAUUAUAUGAUACAAUAUGGUAUGUAAUUCUAUCUCAAUAAAGCUGUUUAAAAAUAACAUCAAAAGGACCCCAAGGUUUUAGCCUGUGCGGCAGGAGGAAUAGCUCAGUUGCUGACAAAAGCAGGAGAACAAGGAAAAGAGACAGCUGGGAGUUAAGCAGAAGGACUGAAUUCAGCGUGGGCUGUUGAAUCUAAGAUUUUGGCUGGCUGCUCGUGAAGAAACGCCUGCAGAAAGCUGUAAAUGCCGGCAGUGGCAGUGAGUGUGAUGGACAAGGCUAAAGAGAAGACUCAUGAACUUUCGGUAAGUAGGGAGGGCUGAAAAAGUGAGCUCAUAAGAGUGAGUGGAGAUCAAACAGGUAGAGAAAAGCUACAACAGGAUUUGGAGAGAAUGCACAAAUAUAAGAUGAACAGAGGAAGAGAAGCCAUCAAAGCAGCCCAAGAAAAUAACGGUGAGAGAGGCAGGAGAAAACACAGAGAGUAGGGGUGGGAGGAUGAGCAAGACCAAUGUGCUUGCCCAGGCUGGGGAAGGCGGUGGAGAGGGCCGCGUGGUGAGCAACAGGAAGAGUCUUUUUGCUGGAGAGGAAGCCUUGAGGGUCCAUUCGCAGAGCCGAGGUGGGGAAGAAGGCAGAAGAUUCGAGUUUAAGAAGCAGUGAGGACAGAUAGCAGGGCAAGAAAAAAGUUGUGUUUGUGUUUUAGGACCUGGUAAAAACGGGGAAGUGGUAGGUAGGGAGCCUAGAAACUGGCCGUUUGCAGUGGAGUGUGGGUGUUUCCAUUAAUGAGGAGAGGAACUUCUUUUUCCCAGCCUGGGGUGAAGCAAGUAUAGCCCCAGGACAUAACUUCUGACCUGGGGGGAGUGAAACAAACUCAAGGAGAAGCUGCUGCUUUAUUGAUUUGAAAGGACAAGGGCACAGUCGUUGCUGGGAGUGAAAGGGGUGGUCACAAGUUCAAAAGACAGUAGGAAACUGUGGCAGGUCAGCCGCAUACACUUGCUUGUGCUGAGUCUUGUCCUGUGUUUUACUUGAUCACAUUCAAGCCUUACACGUUUAAAUCCCACCUUCUCUUCCACUCUGCUGCCAUUUGUAUUCCCUCAGAUAAGAAGGUAAGGAGAAAGGGCUGGGUGCAGUGGCUCGUGCUUGUAAUCCCAGCACUUUGGGAGGUGGAGGUGGACGGAUCACUUGAAGUCAGGAGUUCGAGACUAGCCUGGCCAACAUGGUGAAAUCCCAUCUCUACCAAAAAUACAAAAAAAUUAGCCAGAUGUGCUGGUGGGUGCCUAUAAUCCCAGCUACUUGGGAGGCUCAGGCAGGAGAAUCGUUUGAAUCCAGGAGGCGGUGGUUGCAGUGAGCCGAGAUCAUGCCACUGCACUCCAGCCUGGGCAACAGAACGAGACUCCAUCUCGAAAAAAAAUGGUAAGGAGAGCGGGUGCCGUGACCUGGAGCAAAGGGAGGAGUCCUGGGUGACAUCUGCCUCCCAUGGCAGGGAGGUCCUCCGGUAAACCUGCUUAGACACGCACAGUUGCUUUCAACAGUACUGCCAUGGACACGAAUGAUCUUUAGGUACAGACAAGGCCUCCUUACAAGAGACAUAUGUUAGGAAAAGGUAGUGCCAAAAUUCCUUUAUUAAGUAUAUGUUUUCCUAUUUAGUCAUUAAUGUUCAUGUUUCAAAAUGACCCUGUAGCAAGUACCACUUGAUGUGAGAAGGAAUCAAGGCAGGUUCAUGGAUAAGGCAUGAACUUAAGGUCAUGGCAGGAGCCUGCAGAAGCUCACAGUACUGUGGCUUUGUACUCUGUGGCUCUGUCAUCUAUCUUUCUUUCUAGGCACAAGAAACCAAAUCUUUACUGAGUGUGGUGGAAGAAUGCCCAGGUGAGCACAGGCACAGUGCCAGGUGCUGCAGAGGACCUGAGACAAAGAGUCACUGCGCCCUCAGAGAGUUUAGAAUCCAGCACUGAGGAAAAGAGAGGUCAUGGGGAGCACAGGUGGGUCCCACAAUCAUGGGAAGAAUACUGUUGGCUGCAAGGGCCUGGCAACUAUCUAUGACUCAUGAAGAAACAGGCCCAGUGAAGUAACGUGGCUCCUUGAGAUCACAGAGUGAAAGAACUGAGUCUCACAUACAUUAUUUGAGACAGGUUCUCUCUCUGUCACCCAGGUUGGGGUGCAGUGGUACAAUCUCGGCUCACUGCAACCUCCAUCUUUUGGGCUCAAGCAAUCCUCCCACCUCAGCCUCCCUAGUAGCUAGGACCACAGGCAUGUGCCAGCAUAUCCGGCUAACUUGUUUUUUAUUUUCUUGUGGAGACAGGGUCUCCCUAUGUUGCUCAAGCUGGUCUCAACCUCCUGGGAUCAAGUGAUUCUCCCGCCUUGGCCUCCCAAAAUGUUGGGAUUAUGGAUGUGAGCCACCACACCCAGCUUCAUCAUUUUUCCAGUGAACAUUUUUCUAGGGAACAUGAAUAUUGAAAGAAAAGAUUCUCCAUGUACUGUUACCCAUCUGUGGUGGCAUUUAUUUCCUAAAAAGAAAUGAAUGUGAUAAAUCUUUCUUUUAGGCUGAGCAAUAAUGUUUCACAUAUAUAAAAUCUUGAAAUUUGAUCUGGAUUAUAGCAAUAAAAUAAAACAUGCAUUAAUAUAUAGGAGAAUUACUUUGGAUACAAACCCAACAAAGAUUUAAUGAAAAACAUUGUCAUAUAUCAAUAAAUGCAAAUAAAGUCUGAACCCCCCCCCCCCAUUUCCACCCCUCUAAGUCUAGCACCCCUAGAUGGAGGCGGGGGUUGGCUAACUUAGGCCGGAGAGACGCAUGCUGGUGAGGUCAUGGGUUUGCUCUGGUCUGUUGGUAGUGGUCUUUUGGGGGCCACAGCCUGCAUGCUGUCUCCCACCCAGUGUGCUUGUUUGACCAUGUGGCUGGUCGACCAUGCUGCUGCUACCAAUCACAACAUGGAGUCUCAUGGAAUCCUCUCAAUGACUCUAUUUUAUAGAUGGGUAAUUUGCCCAAGAUCCCAUAUCUUGUUCUUGGAAUUGAGUGCAGGUAAUGUUACUCCAGAGGGCAACCUUUUAACCAUCAGAUUAGAGUGCCUCCUUGGGUGAGUGCAAAUCUCUUUCUAUUAUUGGAAAAACAAUUAAACACGUAUGUCAGUCUGUGGUGGAAUUAUUAAAUAUGAAGUCUGGGAUAUUUACUGGCCACAUUACAGGUUGUUUAUUAUUUGCCUCAUGGUGAAAAUGUCGGUCCCACGUGAGAUGUUUGUUAUCUGGUUUUACCCAAAAGAAGUAUGGGUCUUGACCUCAAGGAUUAUAGUUCAGAUCCAUGAUGACUUUUUCUUUCACUUCUAGAGUACUCUUUUCUUCCCCCUACCCCUUGCCCCAAGCCACCAGGGGGCACACAGAAUUGGCCAUUUACCUUGGAAAAUUUAAGGCACCAAUUUUAAGGAUAUAGAUAAAUAUCAGUCCAGUAUCUUUAGAGGUACAGCUGGGAAUAGACUAACACUAAUAUCAGGUAUCUGUCCCCAUUUCCAUUUAAAAGAUCAUCUCUUUAAAAUCCUUUAGGACUGACAAGUGUCUCACCCAUGGGCCUUUUGGUCUUCAGGAGGCAAUGCCCUUUUUAUUUGUGUUUCAGUGUCAUGGUGUAGUUUCAAGUUGGAUCUGUCCUCUUUCCUCUGCACCUUUCCCUGCAGAAUCACAGAGAUAUAGAUCCUCCCUUCCAGGGCACCAGCACCAAUCCCCCUUUGCCUUUGUUCUCUUCUCCUUCUCUAGGCUUUAUUCAUGGCUGCUCCCUGAUGCCCUUCUCAUUUGUUAUUUUUUAAAGGUUCUCCUAGGUAACUGCUACAAGAGGCUCUAAGCCUGCACCAGAAUCUCUGCUUGUCUCUUGUUUACUAUGUCAUUAGGGCUCAUUCACAGUGAACAGAACCCAUUCUACCUGGUUUAAGCAGAAAGGGACUUCUUAUAAGAUAUUUAAUGUCUAGGCCAGGCGCAGUGGCUCAUGCCUGUAAUCCCAGCACUUUGGGAGGCCAAGGUAGGUGGAUCACCUGAGGUCAGGAGUUUGAGACCAGCCUGGCCAACAUAGUGAAACCCUGUCUCUACUAAAAAUGCAAAAAUUAGCUGAGCAUGGUGGUGCACACCUAUAGUCCCAGCUAUUUGGGAAGCUGAAGCAGGAGAAUCACUUGAACCCAGGAGGCAGAGGUUGCAGUGAGCCAAGAUUGUGCCACUGCACUCCAGCCUGGAUGACAGUGAGACUCUGUCUCAAAAAAAAAAAAAAAAAAAAAAAAAAUUAAUGUCUUACAGAAUGACUGGAGGGCAGAAGAAACAGAAUUGCUACUGAGCUUUCAGGCAUGACUCCCAGUGCCACAUCACAGACUUAGGUUGACAAGGGAGCUGCUGUUCCCGCCAGGAUCAGGAGAUUGUGGAAUCAGAAAGCUGCCUGCCUCCUGGGAAGCCAUAGUGACAGCUGCCCAGCUUCAGACUCAUGCCACCUCUACUGUUAUCAGACUGAACUUGGGUCUGCCCACCUAGCACAGCAAAGCCAAACAUUGACACUGGGAUUGCAGCAAGAGAAGUGAGGCAUUUAUUACAGGAUGCCAAGCAAGAAGGACUGGGCAGCUAAAGCUUAGGACCUGAACUCCCAGAUGGUUUGCAGUUAAGGGUUUUUAAAGGCAGGGAGGAAGAUGUUAUAGGCUGCUAUGGUUUGGUUUUGUGUCUCCACCCAAAUCUCAUGUUGAACUGUAAUUCCUAUUGUUGGGGGAGGGACUUGGUGGGAGGUGAUUGGAUCAUGGGGGUGGACUUCCGCCUUGCUAUUCUCAUGGUAAUGAGUUCUCACAAGAUCUGGUUGUUUAAAUAUGUGUAGCACUUCCCCCUUUGCUUUCUCUCGCCUGCUCUACCAUGGUAAGGCAUGCUUGCUUCCCCUUUGCCUUCUGCCAUGAUUGUAAGUUUCUUGAGACCUUCCAGUCAUACUUCCUGUCUAGCCCACAGAACUGUGAAUCAAUUAAACUUCUUUUCUUCAUAAAUUACCUAGUCUCAGAUGUCUUGCUCUGUCGCCCAGGCUGGAGUGCAAUGGCGUGAUCUUGGCUCACUGCAACAUCCACCUCCCUGGUUCAAGCGAUUUAACUGUCUCAGCCUCCUGAGUAGCUGAGAUUACAUGCAUGUGCCACCAUGCCUGGCUAAUUUUUGUAUUUUUAGUAGAGACCAGUUUUCACCAUGUUGGUCAGGCUGGUCUCGAACUCCUGACUGCGUGAUCCAUCUGCCUCGGCCUCCCAAAGUGCUGGGAUUACAGGCGUGAGCCACCAUGCCCAGCCCCUUCAGGUACUUCUUUAUAGCAGUGUGAGAAUAGACUAAUGCACAGGCAAAGUUAUAAAUCAGUUCUCACACUGCUAUAAAGAACUACCUGAGACAGUAAUUUAUGAAGAAAAGAGGUUUAAUUGAUUCACAGUUCUGCCAAGAACUGAGUUUGAACUUGAACCAAUUUAAAAACACCAAUCAGAAAUCUUGGGAAGACAAAUUGGUUUGGAAAGUGGGAAGAGGGGAGGUGUUUCCUGGGCAUGUAUUUAUUUUGAAGCUCUAGUGGGACGUUCCUGAGGAGAUAUCAGGGAGGUAGUUAGUAAUUCAGAGCUGGAACUCUAGAGAAAAGUGAAGCUGGAGACAGAUUUGGGAGUCAUGUGAGAGAGAGGUAGUCAAGGGAGUGCACGUUGUAGGAACUCAAUAAAUGUUGGUUGAAUGACAUAACCCCGUCACAGCUGGGACCAGACUGGCUAAACCAUAAUUAGUGUUUGUAGUGAGCAGAAAGAGCACAUUGGUUUUUGGCCAUAAAGGAGAAGUGAGGGUCUAGGCAUGGAGACUAGGAAUUAACAUGAAGCAACUGCAUAAUUAGCAAAUGUAGCAGAUAUUUGGAUUGGUUCAUUUCAGCUAUUCCAAUCUCUAAGAUAGAAAACAAAAAAACUAUAUUUUCCAGAUUCCCUUGCAGCUAGGGUUCCAUAUAUAAUAUUUAGAUCAUACCCAUCAGAUGCAGCGUACCAAAUUUGGAAAGCAGAAGUAAACAGUUGUAAGGCAAGAACUGUGCUUUGGCUGUUCCUACUAGUAAGCACAGUGGUGGUACCUUUGGUUUUUCUAUGACAGAUGUAACAGGUCCUAAGUCCCAGCCCUAUAUUCAUAGUUGUCAAGAGAUAAGACACAUAUCAUGGUAUUGAGAUGGAGUAGGGACCCCCCCAGCAUGGAAAUAAAGGAAAACCUUGAGUUCCUUUAAGGGUAAUUCCAAGCACCUGGCUAGAACUCAGAAGUAAAUGAGCAAUUGGAUAAGCGAGAAUGUAAUUGUCGCUUAAAAUAGCCAAGGAAGUUAGAGUCAUAAGAAUGUUUGGUUCCCUGUAGAAACUAAAAAUAACCUUUUUUUAAAAUUUUAGAUGGAGUCUUGCUCUGUCCCCCAGGCUGAAGUGCAAUGGUGCUAUCUCGGCUCACUGCAAUUUCCGCCUCUUGGGUUCAAGCAAUUCUCCUGCCUCAGCCUCCUGAGUAGCUGGGAUUAACGGGCACCUGUCAACAUGCCCGGCCAAUUUUUGCAUUUUUAGUAGAGACAGGGUUUCACCACGUUGGCCAGGCUGGUCUUGAACUCCUGACCUCGUGAUCCUUCUGCCUCAGCCUCCCAAAAGUGCUGGGAUUACAGACGUGAGCCACCGCACCUGGCAAAAAUCACCUCUUAAUAUAUGUCCUUGAGUUGUUUUUUAGAAACCUGGAACCCCACAAAAUGGAUCCCCUGGCAUGCAGACCUCAGUCAGAUAAGGGGGAACUGAGGACUGAACUCUGACCACUCUUCCUUUUUUCAGAUUUCUUCCUAAGGGGCCUCGAGGAGGUCACACCCACAAGCCAGAGCUAACAUUCUUACUACUGAUUCCAAAUUUUUAGAUGAAGCUUCGCCUCCUUAACCAAUUGCAAAUCAGAAAAUCUUUGAAUUUACCUAUGACCUGUGGGCCCCCUUUGAGAUGUCCCACCUUUUUAGGUCAAACCAAUGUAUAGCCCAGGAGCCAACAUGUGAGGGAAGAAGCCUUCAGGUGAUCCAGCCUCCAGCUGUUGGAGCCACCAUAGCUGAGAUGCCAGAUUUCAUGGAGCAGAGAUGAGCCAUCCUCUCUGUGCACAGUCCAAAUUCUUGACCCAGAAAAUCUAUGAGCACAUUAAUGGCUGUUGUUUUACUCCACUAAGUAUAGGGUGGUUUGCUAUAUAGCAAUAAGGAAUCAAAACACCCCUCACAUUCAUGUUGCUUAUUAUCUGAUGGUUAUCUUUCACUGAUACCAAGCAGCUCAUAUUUUUAUCUUGCUCAAAAAACCUUAAAUGGUUCCCCCAUUGAAUAUGGAAUUAAUUAUAUGUUCUUUAGGCUUGCAUUCAAGAUCCUGCUCAGUUUUCAAUCUUACUACCUUAUCUUUCACUUUAACCCGCUACUCACUUUCAAUCCACUUGUACCAUAUGUCAGAUCUUCACUGGGCCACGACUGAUGCUUUCCUAUCCCUGUGCCCUUUCACCAGCACUGGCCUUUUGCUUGGAAUUGUCGUUUUCUAUAUUUACCAAAUUCCUAGCUAUCAUUCCUUCAAGCUCAGUGCAAAUCUCACAUCCUGUAAGACUUUGUUGCCCAAUGUGGUGGCCAGUAGCCACAUGUGGCUAUUUACAUUUAAAAUAGCACUGAUUAAAAUCUAAAGUUUAGUUCCUCAGUCUCACUGGCCACUUUCCGUGCUCAGGAGCCACAUCCCAGUGAACAGCACUGUCUUUUUAGCUUUUCCUUUCUCAACUAAUCUCUCCUUCUCCCAUAUAACCUUAAAACUGCAUUUUUAGCAAUUUUGACCUGAAUAUUUUUGAGGGUUGUGUAAUCCAAAUCCAUGAAAUUACAGAUACACCUUGGCUUUCUACCAUUCUAGUGCACUGCUCUGUAAAUGGGAGGUGGCUCAAAUAUUAAUUGAGUUGGGAGGAAGCAGUGGUUAAUCUCUAUACUAUACUAAUGGGUCUGGGUGAAAUGACCUCUUAUGAUCUUUUCCAGUAAAAUAUUCAACAAACAACAUAAGUCUGUUAUCUUCAACAAUAUAUAAUCUAUCAGGAUAGCUAUUUUUUAAAUCACAGGUGAUUUGGGAGGAAGGUCUCUUGAGAGGAGCAUUCUGCCAUUCUGGUGUAGCUGUUUCUGUUCUCUCCAGCAGCUAUUUUAGGUAUUUAAUUAUUUUAGAGUGUGUGCUUGCAUGUGUUUUGUCUCAAUGUAUGCCAAUUUUUUGCCUAGUCCUCCUGACAUCUUAAUCUAUCUGCCAACGCUACAUGCCGUCAAGCCAAGGAAGAAUUUCCUUCUCACUGUUGCUUCUCUGACCAAGGAAGACAUAAGCACAACCAAUCACCAGACUGAUGAAAUUCCUUCCAGUUUCAGAAAAGAUUAUCACCAAUCCCUACAUUAUAAAAUUCAUACUAAUAAAGCACAAACAUUGAAUUCUAACAUUAUAUGCUAUGUGACAAGACUACUUAAUUGUAUGUGUGUAUGUGUAAUUAUUUUCAAGUUAACCAUCUAAAUUUUACCUGUACAAGAAAGCAGUUAUUAGGCAUGUGAUAGAUGCACUGUGUUAAUUAACGUGGCCUUUCACAAGCCCUGUAGAGACAGCCCAUGAUGGUGUUCAUAUAUCACAUGAUGUCUUCAAGUUAACAAUGUUGACUGUUUUCAUUUCCCUUCACUCACAGCCCGAGAGGGAGCUUCUCUUAAACCUGAGAUAUUUUUGAGGUUGAGGUUAAUAUUUAUUUAAUCUAAACAUUCUAUUUUAUUAUUUUAUCAUUAGUUUUUGAGACAGAGUCUUGCUCUGUCACCCAGGCUGGAGUACAGUGGUGCAAUCUUGGCUCACUGCAACCUCCACCUCCUGGGCUCAAGCAAUUCUCGUGCCUCAGCCUCCUGAGUAGCUGGGAGUACAGAUGCCCACCACCAUGCCCGGCUAAUUUUGUAUUUUUAGUAGAGACAAGGUUUCACCAUGUUGGCCAGGCUGGUCUCAAACUCCUGGCCUCAAGUGAUCCACCCACCUCGGCCUUCUCCCAAAGUGCUGGGAUUACAGGCGUGAGCUACGGCACCUGGCUUAAACGUUCUGUUUUAAAUAUAAAAACCUGGCCUCUGUAACAGAAGCCCCUUUUCAGUUACUCAGUAACCUUACUUUUAUCUAACAGUAAUAAAUGGGAAUUUAUCUGGAAUAGAUGCCGAAAAUCAGGGCACUGCUCUUUGGUUUUGGAUUUCAUGACUUUUGGAUACCUUUGGGCCUCUCUCCUAACUUAGCUGUCACUUUAGAAUAAUUUCUUUUUUGAGAUGGA